rnacentral:misc_RNA from 1 species
GAAAUGCGAUACUUGGUGUGAAUUGCAGAAUCCCGUGAACCAUCGAGUCUUUGAACGCAAGUUGCGCCCUAAGCCUUCUGGCCGAGGGCACGUCUGCCUGGGUGUCACAAAUCGUCGUCCCCCCACCAGAUCCUUCUCGGAUGGAUGGGUGAGACGGAAGCUGGUCUCCCGUGUGUUACCGCACGCGGUUGGCCGAAAUCCGAGCCAAAGGACGCCAGGAGCGUCUCGACGUGCGGUGGUGAAAAUCGUCAUAUCGUCGUUCGCUCCUCUGUCCGGAAGCUCUUUGAUGACCCGAUGUCCUCAACGCGACCCCAGGUCAGGCGGGAUCACCCGCUGAGUUUAA